AAUCAACGCUGGCGGCGCGCUUAACACAUGCAAGUCGAACGAGAAAGUGGAGCAAUCCAUGAGUAAAGUGGCGUACGGGUGAGUAACACGUGGAUCAUCUGCCUCUUAGUGGGGAAUAACUCUGGGAAACGUGGAGCUAAUACCGCAUAAGCCUGGAAAGGGAAAGCGUUGUCGUAAAAACGAACGCGCUGAGAGAGGAGUCCGCGGCCGAUUAGCUAGUUGGUAGGGU
rnacentral:rRNA from 1 species